rnacentral:rRNA from 1 species
ACUCAAAUGAAUUGACGGGGGCCCGCACAAGCAGCGGAGCGUGUGGUUUAAUUCGACGCAACGCGAAGAACCUUACCCAGGCUUGACAUGCACGUGGUACGAGGUGGAGACACCGAGGACCCGCAAGGGAGCGUGCACAGGUGCUGCACGGCUGUCGUCAGCUCGUGCCGUGAGGUGUUGGGUUAAGUCCCGCAACGAGCGCAACCCUCGCCGCCAGUUACGAUGUCUGGCGGGACCGCCGGGUCCAACCCGGAGGAAGGUGGGGAUGACGUCAAGUCAGCAUGGCCCUUACGCCUGGGGCUACACACACGCUACAAUGGCCGGCACAAGGGGCUGCGAAGGGGCGACCCGGAGCGAAUCCCGCCAAAGCCGGUCCCAGUUGGGAUCGCAGGCUGCAACUCGCCUGCGUGAACGCGGAGUUGCUAGUAACCGCAGGUCAGCACACUGCGGUGAAUACGUUCCCGGGCCUUGCACACACCGCCCGU